rnacentral:rRNA from 1 species
AUUGAACGCUGGCGGCAUGCUUUACACAUGCAAGUCGAACGGCAGCACGGGGGCAACCCUGGUGGCGAGUGGCGAACGGGUGAGUAACACAUCGGAACGUGUCCUGUUGUGGGGGAUAACUAGUCGAAAGAUUAGCUAAUACCGCAUGAGCUGGAGACAGGAAAGCAGGGGACCGGAAACGGCCUUGCGCGAUUGGAGCGGCCGAUGUCCGAUUAGCUAGUUGGUGGGGUAAAGGCCUACCAAGGCGACGAUCGGUAGCUGGUCUGAGAGGAUGAUCAGCCACACUGGGACUGGGACACGGCCCAGACUCCUACGGGAGGCAGCAGUGGGGAAUCUUGCGCAAUGGGCGAAAGCCUGACGCAGCGACGCCGCGUGAGGGAUGACGGCCU